rnacentral:hammerhead_ribozyme from 1 species
AUCCAGCUGACGAGUCCCAGAGGGGACGAAACGCGCAUCCUGGAU